rnacentral:rRNA from 1 species
AUGGCGGAAGAUCUACCUCUGCUCGCAGGGAGGUCGGCGGCAACGCUUGCCCUGUCGUUGCUGGAUAAAGCCUUCUCCCACCUGGCCGGCGGAGCCGAAGAAAUUUACAAGGAAGAGCUGCUGGAAUGUGUCCGGAGGAUCCUGACAAUCUUGGACGAAGCCGAGCGCCGGCUGAUCAAAUGGCGGUUCCCGAGCCUCGAAAUCUCUAUCUGGGAGUUCACUAGGGCCGUCGACGAGAUCGAGGACGCCGUCGACGAGAUCCAAUACCACAGGCUAGAGGACGCGGCCGUUCGCCGCGGCCCCGUCUCCAAGCUUGUCAAGAGGAAGAUUCUUGCUAGGUUCGUGCCUGGCAGCGGCCUGGAGAGGCUGAGGGAGGCCGUGGUGAGACUGGGCCAUAUGGCGUCCGUCGUGUACCGAUACUACCAGCGCUCGGUCGCUCGCCGUGCUCCGGGGGUCGCCGCGCCCUCUCCCUCCGAGCACGAGCGCUACCCGAGCUGGACCGCGGCGGAUGCGGUGGUCGGCCGAGACGAGGAGAAGGGGCAGGUGAUGCGGUGGCUGAUGAAGCUCCCAGCUGAAGAGGCUGAAACUAACCCAGUGUCGGCUUUUGCAAUAGUGGGGAUGGCCGGCAUGGGGAAAUCAGCACUGGCUAAACUCGUUCACGACGACCCGCAGGUGCAAACCAAUUUCGACAUUGUUGUGUGGGUGAAGGUGUCAUUUGAGUUCAGAGCCGCGGCAGUGGUCAGUGACAUACUGAGAUCGAUUGCUGCCACGGAACCUGGAUCCUCUGCUUCUGCUCAUUUGGCAGAGAAGCUCAGAGAUAAGAAGCUUCUGCUCAUUCUAGAUGAUGUCUGGGAAGACGAGAUGAGGGGAAGAUGGGAAGAUUUGCUGUCCCCAAUACGGUCUGCCAAGAGAGGAAGCAAAAUCCUGUUGACCACUAGGAUGCAAUCAGUAGCAGAUAUGGCUGCCACCACAAUAGGAGGUGAAUUUGAGUGUCUGAAACUGGAUGGAUUACAGGAGAGCGACAAUUUCUUGCUCUUCAAAAGCCUACUGAAUCCUGAUGUGAACUCGGAAGAUUAUGCCAACCUUCUGCUGAUUGGUGAACAGAUAUCGAAAAGGUUUGGAGCCUGCCCCUUCCUAACAUUAGCGGUCGUUUCGCACCUGAGGGAUGAUUUGAAAACUAGUUGGACUGAUGUACUGCAACAACAUUGGUACCAAAUUGAAGGAAUUUAUAGCAUUCUUCCAUCUCUCAAACUGAGCUACGACCAUCUACCUGCACGGCUGCAAAUUUGCUUUAGGUAUUGUAGUUUGUUUCCAAGGGGGCACAAAUUUUACAUGGACAAAUUGGUAGACAUGUGGGUCAGUUCUGGACUAAUACCUUUUCCCUCAAGGGAGCCUGGUGAUAGCUUACCGGCAACAGAUAAUGUUAGCAUUCUGAACCCAGUGGAUGUCGGGGAAGAGUACUUCACAGCAUUGACAAGAAAAUCAUUCUUUUGCCGUAUGCUGGAAACAGAUCCUUGUGGUGGAAACCAGAAAGAAUAUUAUGUUUUACACAGUUUGCUGCAUGACUUGGCACAACUUGUCUCUCGAGGUGAAUGCGCAAGAGUGGAUAAUGGUGGUUUCCAAGAUGUCAUGUGGACAACCCGACACAUAUCUAUUGCAAACUGUGGCAUCCUUACUCAUGAAAGAGCCCGGAAGAUAUCUUAUUUGAGGAGUUUGCGGACUCUUAUAAUAGAAAGUGAGUCCUGUCUUGAUCAAGAAACUGAACUUUUGCUUGGAGAGAUUCUGAAGAGUACAAAAUGCUUACGCCUGCUGCAAUUGUCUGUGCCAUCUCCAUUUCAUGUACUCGAUAGAUUUCCCAACCUAAUUCAUCUCCGUUAUAUUUCCUUAAUCUCAUGUGACGAGUCCCAUCUUCAUAAAAUCUUUAAAUCCUACCAUCUGCAAGUACUCAAGCUCAGCUACUUGACAGCAAAAGAACCAGACUUGAGCGACAUGUAUAAUUUACGUUGCUUACGUUCUUUGCAUAUUCCUGACAAUAUGUCAUCCAAGAUUCAUAAACUUGGAAGGUUAACCUCACUUCAGGUUUUACGUGGAUUUGAGGUGGUGCAAAAUGAUGGUAGCAGGCUGAGUACACUGAGCAAUUUAAGAAGCCUUCGUCAACUUGGCCUGAUGAAUCUUCAAAAUGUCCAAAAUUGCAGAGAAGCUAUGGAGGUCAAAUUAAAGGAAAAACAUGACAUGAGGAUUUUGCUGUUAUCAUGGAACAGAUACAAUAAUGAUACACGGCUAGAUGAUCAGAUUAUCGGCAAUCUUGAACCAAAUAGGGAAAUUCAAAUACUGCAUAUCCAUGGAUACAAUGGAUCCGUACUUCCAUUUUGGAUUGCUAAUUCCUUGCUUGUCAAUUUGGUAUCACUUGAGCUUGAGUACUGUAUUAAAUGGAAGAGCCUGCCAUCUCUUCAGGAACUAAAUUUACUCCAGCAUGUGAAGUUGCAGCAUCUUUUUCAGUUAGAAUACAUGGGAUUGGAGCUCAAGGAGCUAACUGAUACCAAUGAACCAGGGAUUGUUUGUUUACCCCGUUUUCUUCGUAGCCUAAUCAUUGGAUGGUGCCCUAACCUGAAGAUACUUCCCACUAUACCUCCUAGCCUAGAGGUACUGAUAUUAAAGCAUGUUGGGUUUAUGGUUCUUCCAGGAAUACACCAGAGGGAAUCAAAGACAUCAGUCAAAUCUGAGCUUACAUUUGUACACAUUCAAAGCUGCGCACAUCUGACUUCUCUAGAUAAAGGGUUACUAGAGUGUCAAGAACAACUUGGUUCUCUAUCUACAUUAAUCAUAAGUCAUUGUGAAAGUCUACGCCAUCUACCAAGGAAUGGUUUUGCAGCACUGCAUCACCUGAAAUUCCUGGAAAUGGUUGCCUGUCCAUUGCUGAAGGAUGGCAAUACUGAAGGAAAUAUUCUGCCAAUUUCACUCAAGAACUUGGAUAUGAAUCCUUGCGGUAGUAUUGAUGUUUCAAUGCUCUUGUCACUUCGAAAUCUGUCCUUUCUUACAAAGUUAACACUGUUCAAUUGCACCAACCUGGAGAAACUUCCUCCGGCGGAAAUAUUUGGAACUCUGCAAGUUCUUUCUGAUCUGUCAGUAGCUAGAUGCAGAGGCUUGUUAUCCUUUGGGGGUCUUGGAGCUGUUUCUUCCCUGAGAAUGCUGUCGAUCCUAUGCUGCGACAAGCUCAACCUUUCAGACUCGCCGCAGGGUUGUUGUUCCUUUAUGCUACAAGAGCUCAGAAUCGAUUGCCAGGCCCUGUUGUUUGUGGAGCCACUUCAGAGCCUCAGAUACACUAAAGAGCUAUAUAUCUGCAAUGACUGUGCAAUGGAGUCCUUAGCCGAGGGAUGGUUGCUGCAGAAUGCUACUUCCCUCCAUUCCAUCAAGAUAGGAAUUGCCGAAUCUCUGCAAUCCUUGCCAUCUCAGAUGGAUAAGCUUGAAGCGUUACAGAGUUUGCACAUUGAAAGGGCCCCUCUGAUGAAGCUACUCCCACAACUGCCUGCCUCACUUAGCAAGCUGACAAUUUGGGGCUGUGACCCAAUGUUUAUGAAGCAGUAUGAAAAGGAUGUUGGUCCGAACUGGGGCCAGGUCAAGCACAUUGCUCAUGUGGAUAUAAAGUCCUAUUCUGAAGGAAUGAGCUGCAGUAAUGAUCAGAUUCAAGGUUUUGAGAAAAAUGCCUAUAAUCCACGCCAUCCAUUUGUUGUCAUAGAGUAG